GGGGGUGACCCGGUUUCGACAGGGGAACUGAAGGCGCUGUUGCGUGUCGAGGAUUCCGUUGGCCUCGUUAAAAAACGGAAAAGCCAUUAACUGGCAACCAGAACGAAUUCGCUUACGCUGCUUAAGCUAAGCCAGUGACCGUGUAGCCCCGCCUUUGGCGCCGCGCGAACUGCAACAAAAGAAGGCUAGCCCAGGCAAGACCUCAUAGCUGACGGCGAAAACAAGUGAGGAUAAGGAAGGGGGAAACCCGCCCGCUGGUGGCCCCUGACCCGACAACCAAACAGCGGGAUACACACGUAGACGCACGCUGGACGAACUUUUGGACGGCGGUUCGACUCCGCCCACCUCCACCA
rfam:Deinococcus swuensis strain DY59, complete genome.